rnacentral:rRNA from 1 species
UACGAAGGGGACUAGCGUUGUUCGGAAUUACUGGGCGUAAAGCGCGCGUAGGCGGAUCGCUAAGUCAGGGGUGAAAUCCCAGGGCUCAACCCUGGAACUGCCUUUGAUACUGACGAUCUGGAGAUCGGGAGAGGUUGGUGGAAUUCCGGGUGUAGAGGUGAAAUUCGUAGAUAUUCGGAGGAACACCAGAAGCGAAGGCGGCCAACUGGCCCGAUACUGACGCUGAGGCGCGAAAGCGUGGGGAGCAAACAGG